GACGAACGCUGGCGGCGUGCUUAACACAUGCCAGUCGAACGGAAAGGCCCUGCUUGCAGGGUACUCGAGUGGCGAACGGGUGAGUAACACGUGGGUGGUCUGCCCUGCACUUCGGGAUAAGCUUGGGAAACUGGGUCUAAUACCGGAUAGGAACCAUCUUUAGUGUGGUGGUUGGAAAGUUUUUUCGGUGUAGGAUGAGCUCGCGGCCUAUCAGCUUGUUGGUGGGGUAAUGGCCUACCAAGGCGGCGACGGGUAGCCGGCCUGAGAGGGUGUACGGCCAAAUUGGGACGGAGAUACGGCCCAGACUCCUACGGGAGGCAGCAGUGGGGAAUAUGGCACAAUGGGCGCAAGCCUGAUGCAGCGACGCCGCGUGGGGGAUGAAGGCCUUCGGGUUGUAAACUCCUGUCGCUAGGGACGAAGCUUUGUUGUGACGGUACCUAGAUAAGAAGCACCGGCUAACUACGUG
rnacentral:rRNA from 1 species